AAUGAACGCUGGCGGCAGGCCUAAAACAUGCAAGUCGAACGCCCUAGCAAUAGGGAGUGGCGCACGGGUGAGUAACAUGUGGGAAUAUGCCUUUUGGUACGGAACAACGUUUGGAAACGAACGCUAAUACCGUAUGGUCCCUCCGGGGUAAAGAUUUAUCGCCAAAAGAUUAGCCCGCACUAGAUUAGCUAGUUGGUAAGGUAAUGGCUUACCAAGGCGACGAUCUCUAGCUGUUCUGAGAGGAAGAUCAGCCACACUGGGACUGAGACACGGCCCAGACUCCUACGGGAGGCAGCAGUUAGGAAUAUUGGACAAUGGGCGCAAGCCUGAUCCAGCCAUGCCGCGUGAGUGAUGAAGGCCUUCGGGUUGUAAAGCUCUUUAGCCGACGAAUAUAAUGACUGUAAGAAAGGAUCGGCUAACUUCGUGCCAGCAGCCGCAGUAAAAC
rnacentral:rRNA from 1 species